rnacentral:rRNA from 1 species
UACGUAGGGUCCGAGCGUUGUCCGGAAUUAUUGGGCGUAAAGAGCUCGUAGGCGGUUUGUCGCGUCUGCUGUGAAAUCCCGAGGCUCAACCUCGGGCCUGCAGUGGGUACGGGCAGACUGGAGUGCGGUAGGGGAGAAUGGAAUUCCCGGUGUAGUGGUGGAAUGCGUAGAUAUCGGGAGGAACACCAGUGGCGAAGGCGGUUACCUGGAGCUUUGCUGACGCUGAUGCGCGAAAGCGUGGGGAGCGAUCCGG